UCGAGCGGAAAGGCCCUUCGGGGUACUCGAGCGGCGAACGGGUGAGUAACACGUGAGUAACCUGCCCUCCACUCUGGGAUAAGCCCGGGAAACUGGGUCUAAUACCGGAUAUGACUCCUCGUCUCAUGGCGGGGGGUGGAAAGUUUUUUCGGUGGGGGAUGGACUCGCGGCCUAUCAGCUUGUUGGUGAGGUAAUGGCUUACCAAGGCGACGACGGGUAGCCGGCCUGAGAGGGCGACCGGCCACACUGGGACUGAGACACGGCCCAGACUCCUACGGGAGGCAGCAGUGGGGAAUAUUGCACAAUGGGGGAAACCCUGAUGCAGCGACGCCGCGUGCGGGAUGAAGGCCUUCGGGUUGUAAACCGCUUUCAGCAGGGACGAAAUUGACGGUACCUGCAGAAGAAGCACCGGCUAACUACGUGCCAGCAGCCGCGGUAAUACGUAGGGUGCAAGCGUUGUCCGGAAUUAUUGGGCGUAAAGAGUUCGCAGGCGGUUUGUCGCGUCCGUUGUGAAAGCUUGGGGCUCAACCCCAAGUCUGCAGUGGAUACGGGCAGACUAGAGUCAGGUAGGGGAGAACGGAAUUCCUGGUGUAGCGGUGAAAUGCGCAGAUAUCAGGAGGAACACCGGUGGCGAAGGCGGUUCUCUGGGCCUGUACUGACGCUGAGGAACGA
rnacentral:rRNA from 1 species